UUAGAGUUUGAUCCUGGCUCAGGAUGAACGCUAGCUGGUAGGCAUAACACAUGCAAGUCGAGGGGCAGCUGGUUUGGUAGCAAUACUGAAUGUCAGGCGACCGGCGGAUGGGUGAGUAACGCGUACGCAACCUACCUUGUACAGUGGGAUAGACACUGGAAACGGUGCGUAAUACCACGUAAUAAUAUAGAUAGGCAUCUAUCUAUAUGGGAAGGGUACGUAAGUAUUGGUAUAAGAUGGGCGUGCGUAGGAUUAGAUAGAUGGUGGGGUAACGGCUUACCAUGUCGACGAUCUUUAGGGGUUCUGAGAGGAAGGUCCCCCACAUUGCAACUGAGAACGGUGCAAACUCCUACGGGAGGCAGCAGUGAGGAAUAUUGGUCAAUGGGCGGAAGCUUGAACCAGCCAUACCGCGUGCAGGAAGGCGGCCUUAUGGGUUUGUAAACUGCUUUAUAAUGGGAUAGUGAUUAUAUCGUGCAUAUGAUAGGGAAGGUACAUUAUGAAUAAGUAUCGGCUUAACUCUGUGCCAGCAGCCGCGUUAAUACUGAGGAUACGAGCGUUGUCCGGAUUUUAUUGGGUUUAAAGGGUGCGUAACGCGGAUGAAUUAUUUCUAUGGUUAAAAUGGUUGUGCUCAACCACAAUUUAGCCGUAGGAAACCGGUCAGGUAGGAAUAUAAGGGGGGGUGGGGGGAAUAAAGCGUGUAGAGGUGGCAUUCAUUGAUAUGCUUUAGAACACCGUUCGCGAAGGCCGGCUUACGAAGGUAAAAUUGACGCUAAUGCACGAGAGCGGUGGGUAUCGAACAGAAUUAGAUACUCUGGUAGUCCACGCUGUAAACGAUGAUAACUAUAUGUCGGCGAUUAGAAUGUCGGUGUAGAAGUGAAAGCGAUAAGUUAUCCACCUGGGGAGUACGAUCGCAAGGUUGAAACUCAAAGGAAUUGACGGGGGCCCGCACAAGCGGAGGAGCAUGUGGUUUAAUUCGAUGAUACGCGAGGAACCUUACCCGGGCUUGAACGUGAGAUGGAUAUCACAGAGAUGUGGUAGUUAGCAAUAACGUCUUGCGAGGUGCUGCAUGGUUGUCGUCAGCUCGUGCCGUGAGGUGUCAGGUUAAGUCCUAUAACGAGCGCAACCCUUGUUGUUAGUUACCAGCACGUGAAGGUGGGGACUCUAAUGAUACUGCCGGCGUAAGCCGCGAGGAAGGGGGGGAUGACGUCAAAUCAGCACGGCCCUUACGUCCGGGGCGACACACGUGCUACAAUGGUCAUUACAGAGGGCAGUUAGGCAGAGAUGUUGUACGAAUCUCUAAAGAUGGUCUUAGUACGGAUUGGGGUCUGCAACUCGACCUCAUGAAGUUGGAUUCGCUAGUAAUCGCAGAUCAGCCAUGCUGCGGUGAAUACGUUCCCGGGCCUUGCACACACCGCCCGUCA
rnacentral:rRNA from 1 species